GACGAACGCUGGCGGCGUGCUUAACACAUGCAAGUCGAACGGUGAAGCGCCUUCCUUUUUGGUGGGUGUGGAUGAGUGGCGAACGGGUGAGUAACACGUGAGUAACCUGCCCCCUUCUUCUGGAUAACCGCAUGAAAGUGUGGCUAAUACGGGAUAUUCUGGGUCUGUCGCAUGAUGGGUCUGGGAAAGAUAUUGUUUCUGUGGGGGAUGGGCUCGCGGCCUAUCAGCUUGUUGGUGGGGUGAUGGCCUACCAAGGCGGUGACGGGUAGCCGGCCUGAGAGGGUGGACGGUCACACUGGGACUGAGACACGGCGCAGACUACUACGGGAGGCAGCAGGGGGGAAUAUGGCACAAUGGGCGCAAGCCUGAUGCAGCGACGCCGCGUGAGGGAUGGAGGCCGUCGGGUUGUGAACCUCUUUCGCCAGUGAAGCAGGCCUGCCUAGUUUGUGGGUGGGUUGACGGUAGCUGGAUAAGAAGCGCCGGCUAACUACGUG
rnacentral:rRNA from 1 species